CGCCGGCGACCGGCGCACGGGUGAGUAACACGUAUGCAACCUGCCCUCUUCAGGGGGACAACCUUCCGAAAGGGAGGCUAAUCCCGCGUAUAUCGGUUUCGGGCAUCCGAGAUCGAGGAAAGAUUCAUCGGAAGAGGAUGGGCAUGCGGCGCAUUAGCUAGACGGCGGGGUAACGGCCCACCGUGGCGACGAUGCGUAGGGGUUCUGAGAGGAAGGUCCCCCACACUGGUACUGAGACACGGACCAGACUCCUACGGGAGGCAGCAG
rnacentral:rRNA from 1 species